GGAAUCGUGCCUGAAUAAAGGACCACUUUGAUAGAGUGAACAACGAAGGUUAAAAUCCCUCCGACUCCU
rnacentral:tRNA from 1 species